rnacentral:rRNA from 1 species
GGCAGUGCGGGUGCUAUACAUGCAAGUCGAACGAACUCUGGUAUUGAUUGGUGCUUGCAUCAUGAUUUACAUUUGAGUGAGUGGCGAACUGGUGAGUAACACGUGGGAAACCUGCCCAGAAGCGGGGGAUAACACCUGGAAACAGAUGCUAAUACCGCAUAACAACUUGGACCGCAUGGUCCGAGCUUGAAAGAUGGCUUCGGCUAUCACUUUUGGAUGGUCCCGCGGCGUAUUAGCUAGAUGGUGGGGUAACGGCUCACCAUGGCAAUGAUACGUAGCCGACCUGAGAGGGUAAUCGGCCACAUUGGGACUGAGACACGGCCCAAACUCCUACGGGAGGCAGCAGUAGGGAAUCUUCCACAAUGGACGAAAGUCUGAUGGAGCAACGCCGCGUGAGUGAAGAAGGGUUUCGGCUCGUAAAACUCUGUUGUUAAAGAAGAACAUAUCUGAGAGUAACUGUUCAGGUAUUGACGGUAUUUAACCAGAAAGCCACGGCUAACUACGUGCCAGCAGCCGCGGUAAUACGUAGGUGGCAAGCGUUGUCCGGAUUUAUUGGGCGUAAAGCGAGCGCAGGCGGUUUUUUAAGUCUGAUGUGAAAGCCUUCGGCUCAACCGAAGAAGUGCAUCGGAAACUGGGAAACUUGAGUGCAGAAGAGGACAGUGGAACUCCAUGUGUAGCGGUGAGAUGCGUAGAUAUAUGGAAGAACACCAGUGGCGAAGGCGGCUGUCUGGUCUGUAACUGACGCUGAGGCUCGAAAGUAUGGGUAGCAAACAGGAUUAGAUACCCUGGUAGUCCAUACCGUAAACGAUGAAUGCUAGGUGUUGGAGGGUUGCCGCCCUUCACUGCUGCGGCUGACGCAUUACUAUUGCUGCCUGGGGAGGUACUGCCCGCAGGCUGAAGACUCAAAGGCAAGUGGACUGGUUUCGCGCCACAAUCAGAUGGGAGCAUAG